AGGUAAUCACCGGGGCUAGAUUGAAUUUCACACAGGUUUGGGGGAUUAGUUCAUACAGAAAGAAAAGCGAGUCAGCUCCAGCUGAAUGCUGUUUCCAGAGGUCUAAUUAGAAGUGCAUGCAUGUGAUGAGGAGAGCUGCUAGGCACGCAAGGUUAUUUAGGUACCUUUAUGUAGGAGGCCCAGGUUGUAUAGUGCUCCUUCCCAGGGUUGUUGUUCAUGCCCAAGGAGUGCAGUAAGGUGGCUUGGAAAAGAAACUAAGGCAGCUGCACAACAGGAAGCUAUCCAACAAAGGGAGAGGAAAUCCUGGGUUGCUUGGUUCAACAGAAUAUAAAUGAAGAAAACAUUAUGAAUAAGGAAUCAAAGCUUGCAGAAGACAUUUUGUGUCAGAUUCUGACCGCUGAUUUGAAAAUGUGCAACAGCUGAUGUAAGGUUUCUGCACACAUGAAUCCUACAGAGCAACCUGCAGGGAGCAGGAGGAAGAACCUAGUGUCUCUGCCUGCAGCACUGCUCGGAUUAAAGGCCCACUGUUGAGUUAUGCAACCACCAUCACCUCUACCAUGUCAAAAUACCUCCUAGUAACUACCUAGAUGAAAAGCACUCAGCUCACUAGGAAACUCUGUCCAUCUCACCCCAGUGAUUCAUACAUUUGUCACCUCCAGCAUGAACCCCUGUAACUGAAGUGGAAUCUGAAACCUGUGAAUGGAUACAGAAGGUGACUGCUGACUUUUUCCAUGGUGAAAUGUGCUGUUAGCAGAGUAUGUCUGAAUUCAGGUACCUCAGAAAGCCUCCACUUUCUCUCAGUACCUGUUUACAGCCCUAGCCACCAUUUUCAAAGCAAGUAAAGAAAUUUCAGAGACAGCUGCAUACCUCUGAUGUGCCUUAGAUCACAGGUUUAAAAAAAAAAAAAACGUGAGAACUAUUCACAAUGUGAAUCUGAUAUCUGAUUUUGCUUUGCACUGUCUGCACCUCUUGCCAAGGUAAUCCUGCUGUGGAAUGCUUUGCUGGAACCUGAUCAUGUUCCUGAAAUAUUGCAGUUUUCCCUGUGUGAUUGGGCUGAGAGGAUUUUUUUUUUUUUACCAUAUGUGACACAAUUCAACAGCUGUUUUUAUUCAUGAAUCCUUUCCUCCUUUCUUCCCCCUUCCUCAAAAUAAAAAACAUUUCAUGAAUGUUGAUUACACAGGGCAUGUGUAAAGAAUCCCAUCUAGGCAACUAAAGACUUUACUACUGUUUUUCUAUGUCCCAUCGAAGGGGCUCAGAUAGUGCCUUGUUCUGGUUAUGAUUUAAGCCUUGGUAGCUCAUUUUUUCACCUUCAGACUCUUUCCAGCUUCUGUUACUUUUAUCUCUGGGAGGUCACAUAGUUUUUUAAGUACUCUGAGUUUUGAAGCAAUUUGAAUUCUGAAGUUCAUAAGUGAGAACUCCUGAGGACAAAAUUAAUUCAAGUGUUUUAUUACCUUGGCUAUCUGUGGAAUACAAUUUGUUUUAAAUACUGAGAUACUCUCUGCCCAAACUGUGUUUGGGGUUGUAGAGAUAUUGUGUUUCUGAUGUGAUAACAAAAAUGCUGGAAAUAGUCAAGGAAAGGCAACUGUCUCAUUUAGAAUGAAAACACAGGAAGGUGGAAGGCAAUAUUUACAACUUGCUUCUAAAUGAGUGAAAUAGUUUAAUAUUUAAGGUUAUUUUUUUAUACAUUUUUAAGGUUAUUUAAGGUUAUUUUGACAGGUGAAUAAAUCCAGGGGAGUACAGGUCAAACCACUGUAGAGAAGAUGGCUUUAUAUGAUAGUAAAGAAUGUGAAUAAAAGCAAAUUAAACUGAAAGGAAUACUCCAUCAGAAUGUACAUUGUUCUUUCAAAGAGUAGGGCAGUAAUGGUUGACACAGAAGGCUUAGAUGGAAAUGAGGGUACACAGUGCAGUGUUACUGCACUGAGACAAAGACUUCAAAAUGCAUGCAAGAAUGUCUACAUUGCAUAGCAAAAAUGCCUUUGGUCUUCAAAGCAUAAAUCACUGUUGAGUUAGUAUUCCCAUCACAAGCAAGAUUCAUGGGUAAACUGG